rnacentral:rRNA from 1 species
GAUGAACGCUGGCGGCGUGCCUAAUACAUGCAAGUCGAGCGAACGGACGAGAAGCUUGCUUCUCUGAUGUUAGCGGCGGACGGGUGAGUAACACGUGGAUAACCUACCUAUAAGACUGGGAUAACCUCGGGAAACCGGAGCUAAUACCGGAUAAUAUUUUGAACCGCAUGGUUCAAAAGUGAAAGACGGUCUUGCUGUCACUUAUAGAUGGAUCCGCGCUGCAUUAGCUAGUUGGUAAGGUAACGGCUUACCAAGGCAACGAUGCAUAGCCGACCUGAGAGGGUGAUCGGCCACACUGGAACUGAGACACGGUCCCGACUCCUACGGGGGGCAGCAGUAGGGAAUCUUCCGCAAUGGGCGAAAGCCUGACGGAGCAACGCCGCGUGAGUGAUGAAGGUCUUCGGAUCGUAAAACUCUGUUAUUAGGGAAGAACAUAUGUGUAAGUAACUGUGCACAUCUUGACGGUACCUAAUCAGAAAGCCACGGCUAACUACGUG